UCACAGACCCCUCCUCUCCUCCAGUGCUCAGCCUGGUGGCUGGGGUGAUCCCAACCCUACCCCCUGGCUCCAGCCUAAGGCAGACAGCACGUGGAAUCCCUCUGCCAGGUGCCGUAGAUCAGGGAUGGGCUCCUAACUCAAGUCAAGCAAAUGGGAUACCAAGAUUUUGAGAAUAGUUCAUUUCUCUUCCACAGGAGCCCCCAGAGGGCCCGUAUCCAGCCAAUACAUCCAGUUACACCCUCCAGAGGAACUGGGAGAGGACACUGAGGAUCAUCCAUAGAGGACCAGCUCAAGUCAUUAAAUACUCAGGAACCUUCCGGCAAAUGUCAGACUUGCCAGCAGGGAAGCCGAGGUGGCAGGAUGUCUGCCUACAGUCUCCGUCUUACAUGUGGCAGCCCUGAGCUGGAGAAAGCCCUCAUUGAUUCUCUCCCCUUGCCUUCCAGCCUCGUUUCCUGGCAUCCUCCUCACUUCCCCCGCUCUCCUGAUGGUUCUAUUUAUCCACAUACAGAUAGCUAACAUGCGUUGAAUGUUUCACCCACGUUACUUCACUUUACCCUGGUGCGGCAUUAUUCAUAAGCCAAACAGCGAGAGCAACCCCGUGUCCGUCACCUGGUGAAUGGAUACCUGAAAUGCGGUAUGUCCACACCACAGAAUAUUACUUGGUCACACAAAGGAGUGAAGAACCAGCAACACAACCUAGGUGAAUCUGGAAACAUGACGCUGAAGAAAAGAAGCCAGACACAAAGCCCAUGUACUGUAGGAUUCCACGCGUACGGACUGCCCCGAGUAGAGCAGCCUGAUGUUCACCAUGGAUCCUGGUGCCUGGAUUCCAGCUGAGCCCAUGGUCCCAGCUGCCUGACUACUGCCAGUUAUGUCAUCUGUGUCCUCUGUUUCUCACCCGUAAAAUGGGAUGAUAAUAGCACCUCCCUCACUGGAGUUCAUGGAGUGAAUAUUCAUGAAGCUCUGAGAUGGGCGCCUGGCACAUAGGCAGGUCCAUAAAAGUUUGGUAAUUUAAAUAAAUAAGAUAGUACUCACUAGAUGAUUCUUCUCUGCCUGGGGAGGGAGCCCAGCAAGUCAGAUCUGCUUUCUGCUCUGCAAAGCUCUCGCCCCUCGCCUGGCUCCAUCCAGCAAGUAAUUGCUCCUGAGGCUUCAUUCCAAAUGGGCCAUAAAUCAGAGGCCAGGGGCUCCUGUUACCAGCGGCUGGCGGUGAGGUCCCUCCCUGGGGUAAUUGGAAGCAGAUGUUGCCAGCCGUCUGGCCUCCAGGGGCCUGUGUACCUGGGCUGCUCGCGUCACAGCAGUUGAGGCAAGAAUUUCCAUGAGCCCUGAAAGGUUGUCAAAGAAACGGCCUCCUAGGGCUUCCAGAUGUUCAGCGGCUUGUUUCAAGCAGGAGUCAUAGAAAUUCCGGUCACAGCCAAGAUUUCAUCAGCCGUGGUCAGUGGGAAGGAGGGAGUCCGGGCGCCUACAGGUCGAGGUCCUUGGACAAGCUGUGUCCUCCUGACGGGGCCCGUGUCCUGUGCUGUCACACGCGCCCUGUGCCCAGACGGACCCCGCCUUGGGUGGAAGCUCUGCUGUGGCCGUGGUGAAAUGCUUCAUCUGUUCAGAACAAGGGCACUGUAUUUUCAUUCUGCACUGGGCCCCAUAAGUCACGAGGCCCCAUCCUGCUCUCUCAACUCCAUUUUCGCAUCUGUAAACCGGCAGUAGCAGCACCCUCCGUCCGCAGGGCCCCGCGAGGGUUACAGACCCACCCGGGGGCUGACGAUGCUCACCCAGCACCGCCCGUACCUGCGUGGCCAUCCCAGCAGCUCAAAUAAACAGUGGCUGCAAUCGCUUUCAGAACCCAUCUCAGAAGGAAGUCUUUAACUGCAGUCCUGAGACCAUGACUCGAAGUUUCCGGAACCUUUGAAAUUCUCACUGUUUAUUAUGUUUGUUACUCCCAUCUGUUUCCUGCAGCAGUGAACUCUUUUAAAUGAAAGGCCUGUGGACG